rnacentral:rRNA from 1 species
AACAAGGUUUCCGUAGGUGAACCUGCGGAAGGAUCAUUGUCGAAAUCGAACGGAAGAAUGACCCGCGAAUCGUCAUGGCGUACUAGAGAAAGCCCGUGAGCACCUAACGCUCAUGCGGCCCGCGUCGCGUCGGCGUGGGUGUACUCGAGACCGCGUCGUGCCGGCGAACAAACAACGUCAGCACGGAUCGUGCCAAGGAGCUGCAUGGAGGGAAUCGUCGUCCCACGCCUUUUGAUCGUCCUCGACGGGGGCGGGGGAUGUACGCAAUCUCUUAUCAAGUCUAAACGACUCUCGGCAACGGAUAUCUCGGCUCUUGCAUCGAUGAAGAACGUAGCGAAAUGCGAUACUUGGUGUGAAUUGCAGAAUCCCGCGAACCAUCRAUUCUUUGAACGCAAGUUGCGCCCGAAGCCAUCCGGCCGAGGGCACGCCUGCCUGGGCGUCGCGAAUCCCUUGCCCCUUGGGCUCCCGCACGACCAUCGGCGGGGAUGUGCCCGGGCGCAGAAUAUGGGCCCGUCGGAUCGGCGUGCGUGGCACGCCGUGGUGCGGUUGGCCGAAAGUCGAGCAUUGUGGCGUCGGGCUCCACGGCGUUCGGUGGAUCGAAUGCGAUUGGCUGUGUCGUGGGCUCGGCAGGCUGCGUGCUCCGGAAUAGGACAAUAUCGCAGAGUGCGAUCUCAGGUCAGGCGGGGCUACCCGCUGAGUUUAAGCAUAUCAAUAAGCGGAGGAAAAGAAACUAACGAGGAUUCCCUUAGUAGCGGCGAGCGAACCGGGAGGAGCCCAUCAUGAAAAUCGUUCGCCGUGGGCGGUCGAAUUGUAGUCUGGAGAAGCGUCCUCAGUGACGGACCGGACCCAAGUUCGCUGGAAGGCGGCGCCGGAGAGUGAGAGCCCCGUCGUGCCCGGACCCUGU